CUGGCUGCUGAUUUGUUAGGCUAAGAAGGACCUAACGGAGGUUACCCACAAGGUCUACUUCGAUGUCGAGAUUGACGGCAAGCCCGUAGGUCGGAUUGUCAUGGGGCUUUUUGGGAAGACUGUUCCUAAGACAGCAGAGAACUUCCGAGCUCUUUGCACAGGUAUGUUUUAUGCUAUUAUUACCCUUGUUAUAGUUUUCCAAUGACUAAACUCAUGGUAGGUUUAAGGUUUGGCAGUCUUAA